rnacentral:misc_RNA from 1 species
UACGUAGGGGGCAGGCGUUGUCCGGAAUUAUUGGGCGUAAAGCGCGCGCAGGCGGUUUCUUAAGUCUGAUGUGAAAUCUCGUGGCUCAACCAUGAGCUGCCAUUGGAAACUGAGGAACUUGAGUACAGAAGAGGAGAGUGGAAUUCCACGUGUAGCGGUGAAAUGCGUAGAUACGUGGAGGAACACCAGUGGCGAAGGCGACUCUCUGGUCUGUCUCUGACGCUGAGGUGCGAAAGCGUGGGGAGCAAACAGG